GAUGAAGAACGCAGCGAAAUGCGAUAAGUAAUGUGAAUUGCAGAAUUCAGUGAAUCAUCGAAUCUUUGAACGCACAUUGCGCCCCUUGGUAUUCCGAGGGGCAUGCCUGUUCGAGCGUCAUUAUAACCCCUCAAGCUCAGCUUGGUGUUGGGGCCUGCUGCACUGGCAGCCCUUAAAAUCAGUGGCGGCGCCAUCUGGCUCUAAGCGUAGUAAUUCUUCUCGCUAUGGAGUCCUGGUGGAUGCUUGCCAUCAACCCCCAAUUUUUCUAUGUUUGACCUCGGAUCAGGUAGGGAUACCCGCUGAACUUAAGCAUAUCAAUAAGCGGAGGA
rnacentral:misc_RNA from 1 species